AGAGUUUGAUCCUGGCUCAGGAUAAACGCUGGCGGCGUGCCUAACACAUGCAAGUCGAACGCCCUAAUGCAAAUUAGGGAGUGGCGGACGGGUGAGUAAGACGUGGGUUAUCUGCCUUUCGGUGAGGAAUACCGGCGAGAAAUCGCCGACAAAACCGCAUGAGUUCCUGGAGACGGGAAGAAAGUCGCAAGACGCCGAAA
rnacentral:rRNA from 1 species